UUGAUAGCUCAGUCAGUAGAGCGUGAGGCUUUUGAUCUCAGGGUUGUGGGUUCGAUCCCCACAUUGGGCAAAA